rnacentral:tmRNA from 2 species
GGGGCUGCUCUGGAUUCGACAGGAUUCAAUGAUGCUUGAGGUGCAUGCAGAGGUGCGGUUUGCCUCUUUAAAAAGCCGCAAAAAAAUAGUCGCAAACGACGAAAACUACGCACUAGCAGCUUAAUACCCUGCAUAGAGCCUCUUUGCCCUAGCUUCUGCCUUUAAGACGGGGAGUUCAAAGAGUCAAACCCAAAAAGGCUCGUGUGGAUGCUUAUACCUGAGAGCUGAACCACUAAAACUAAAUCGGGUAUGUGAUUAAAUGGCGUGUUUGUUCGCAGCUUAAUUACGAGAAUAAAGACAAACUAAGCAUGUAGUGCCAAUGGUUGACGCUUUCUGGACGCGGGUUCAAUUCCCGCCAGCUCCACCA